rnacentral:rRNA from 1 species
CCUACGGGUGGCAGCAGUGGGGAAUAUUGGACAAUGGGCGAAAGCCUGAUCCAGCCAUGUCGCGUGUGUGAAGAAGGCCUUCGGGUUGUAAAGCACUUUCAGUGGGGAAGAAAGCCUUGGGGCUAAUACCCUCGAGGAAGGACAUCACCCACAGAAGAAGCACCGGCUAACUCCGUGCCAGCAGCCGCGGUAAUACGGAGGGUGCGAGCGUUAAUCGGAAUUACUGGGCGUAAAGCGCGCGUAGGCGGUCUGAUAAGCCGGUUGUGAAAGCCCCGGGCUCAACCUGGGAACGGCAUCCGGAACUGUCAGGCUAGAGUGCAGGAGAGGAAGGUAGAAUUCCCGGUGUAGCGGUGAAAUGCGUAGAGAUCGGGAGGAAUACCAGUGGCGAAGGCGGCCUUCUGGACUGACACUGACGCUGAGGUGCGAAAGCGUGGGUAGCAAACAGGAUUAGAUACCCUGGUAGUC